rnacentral:rRNA from 1 species
AAUGGCUUAGUGAGGUCUCCGGAUUGGCUUCGAGGACUCGGCAACGGGACCUUGUUGCUGAGAAGCUGAUCAAACUUGGUCAUUUAGAGGAAGUAAAAGUCGUAACAAGGUUUCCGUAGGUGAACCUGCGGAAGGAUCAUUAAUGAUUACGAAUGGUUACCUUCGGUGCUGGCCAGCUCUGGCAAGUGCACGUUGGUGGCUUUUCAUCCAAUACCCCUGUGAACCUUUGGCCUCUUGCUAGCUUCGGCUGGCAGAGGAUUUUUACACACACUCGAAUGUAAUGAAAACUAUUGUCGUGCGCAAGCACUAAUGUACAACUUUCAACAACGGAUCUCUUGGCUCUCGCAUCGAUGAAGAACGCAGCGAAAUGCGAUAAGUAAUGUGAAUUGCAGAAUUCAGUGAAUCAUCGAAUCUUUGAACGCACCUUGCACCCUUUGGCAUUCCGAAGGGUAUGCUCGUUUGAGUGUCAUUGUACUCUCACACUCUUGAUCCUUUUGGAUUGGGAGCGGUGGACUUGGGUGUUGCUGCUUUACUGCGGCUCACCUCAAAUGCAUUAGUGCAACUCUUGGUUGGACAUAGUACGGCGUGAUAAGUGUCUUCGCCGGCGCCUCGCAAGAGGGUGGCCGAUCAGGAGCUCUGUGCUCUCCAACUGUCUUCGGACAACAACUGACAACUUGACCUCAAAUCGAGUAGGACUACCCGCUGAACUUAAGCAUAUCAAUAAGCGGAGGAAAAGAAACUAACAAGGAUUCCCCUAGUAACGGCGAGUGAAGAGGGAAGAGCUCAAAUUUUGAAUCUGGCGUCUUUGGCGUCCGAAUUGUAAUCUAGAGAAGUGUUUUCCGUGACGGUCCGUGCAUAAGUCUCCUGGAAUGGAGCGUCAUAGAGGGUGAGAAUCCCGUAUAUGGCACGGACUCCCGUUGCUCUGUGAUCCUUUUGCC